CUUUGAUGAAGUUUUCGAAUGGAUUUAAACAGCUUAGUGGCGGACGGGUGAGUAACGCGUGGGUAACCUGCCUCACACUGGGGGAUAACAGUUAGAAAUAGCUGCUAAUACCGCAUAAGCGCACGGUUCCGCAUGGAACAGUGUGAAAAACUCCGGUGGUGUGAGAUGGACCCGCGUCUGAUUAGCCAGUUGGCGGGGUAACGGCCCACCAAAGCGACGAUCAGUAGCCGGCCUGAGAGGGUGAACGGCCACAUUGGGACUGAGACACGGCCCAAACUCC
rnacentral:rRNA from 1 species